rnacentral:rRNA from 1 species
GACGAACGCUGGCGGCGUGCUUAACACAUGCAAGUCGAACGGUAAGUCUCCAGCUUGCUGGGUUCCACGAGUUGCGAACGGGUGAGUAACACGUUGGUGACCUGCCCUUCACUUCGGGAUAAGCCUUGGAAACUGGGUCUAAUACCGGAUAGGACCGCACCCUGAGGGUGUUGUGGAACGUUUUUUCGGUGUGGGAUGGUCCCGCGGCCUAUCAGCUUGUUGGUGGGGUAAUGGCCUACCAAGGCGGCGACGGGUAGCCGGCCUGAGAGGGUGGACGGCCACAUUGGGACUGAGAGACGGCCCAGAAUCCUACGGGAGGCAGCAGUGGGGAAUAUUGCACAAUGGGCGGAAGCCUGAUGCAGCGACGCCGCGUGGGGGAUGACGGCCUUCGGGUUGUAAACUACUGUCACCAUAGACGAAGGGUUUCUGACGGUAGAUGGAGAAGAAGCACCGGCUAACUACGUG